GGUUUUAUGAAAGUUGUAUGCGUCCAUGGGCACAGAAUACAUUUACAUGAUACUGAUGAAAGUUGGCCAAAUAUAGGUUUUGGACCUCGUAAAUCCUUUAAGUAUUUGUUAAAUGUAUAGCACACAAUUUAUAAUCUUCUUUUGGAACUCUUCUGGCAUUGAUGGAUGAAUUUUACAUUACAAAUGCAUAUGUUUGGAUGCUUUUGUAAUUUUCAGAGUUUUGCAUGUGUAUUACAUGUUUAGAUAUCUUUGGCAUUUAACUUCAUCUUCAUAAUAUUUUCCAAGGAGAAAAUUUUUAGACGUGGCAAUGUGGAAGCCCACUUUUAUUUCUCAGUUAAAGACUAGUGAAUGACUCUUUUGCAUUUCAGGACUAAUUUUCUCUAGUUGUUAAAUGCCUAAUAUAAUUUGUUUUCCCCCCUCAGGGUUCUUGCUCUCGAAUAUGGC
rnacentral:misc_RNA from 1 species